AGCUAUUUCAUUUCUGCUGCAUGCAUAAGCUACUAAGGGCAAAAAUACUACUCUUGUUAUUGCUUUCUUUAGGAGGAAACACAGUCAGCUUCCAUCUAGCCUAUUAAAACAGCUGAUAGUUAAUUCUGAUGUCUGCAGAACUCUUCAAAGAACAACUAGGAGUUCAUUGCUGUGCUAAUACAAGCAAAUAGAUAACGCCUUCUGUGAUUUUAGAUACAGCUGGAAGGCACAAUUAACCAGCUGUGCCCUCCUUAAGUGACUGGUGCCCCAACCCUGACUUGGAUAGGACCUGAUUAUGCACUGAAUCGAAUUCAGUAACUGAAGCAUUAGUAACAGAAUGAGAUACUAGGAUAUUCACCAUCACUGCCAGCGACAAAUGCGUUGUUCUUGCCCGUUGGGUCUGUAAGAGAUGACACAAAGCAUAAAGGAUUCUCUGCUUAACAAUAAUUCUGAUCAAAAUGUGAAAAGCUUUUUCACUGCCAUGUCAAACCUUGAAAAUAAUUGGCAUUUAUGAAGACAGGGCCAUGGAACAGUGGUUGCCUGCGUGAUUCCAGUUUCAAGUGUCACCACCUCUGUGGAGUUCAAAUGCCUUUUCUUUAAAGAAAGGUGGAUAUUUGCCACAUUAGGCCACUGCUGCAAUUUCUGGGGACCAAGACCCAGGUGGAUAUAAAAAUGGAAAAGGAGCUAAAAUUGUAAGAAAUCGGAUUAACCUGGUUCAAGGGAAGAUCAAGUCCAGAUUUCUGUUGGACCAUCUGGAGAGAGGGAGGGAUGAGAAAGAAGAACCUCUGAUGGACUGAUUAGAAGAAAAACUACCAGAAAACUCCAAAAAGGAAAACAAUAAAAAAAUCUAAAUGAAAACCAAGCUGCAGAGUUGAGAAAGAGAUUGGAGUGGGAAAAUUGUUACUUGUAUUUGUUCAGGCAGGGGUCAUUAAAGCAACAGCAAAGAAGCAUUCAUUAUAGAGAAAGAACUAUAGCAAUAAUAUCAGAGGAGCUCCCUGAUGGAGAGAAGCUUGAAUGACUGUAAAUAGUGUUUUUGAGUUUAAAGAGGAAGAGAAGUAAGGAGAUAGCUAGAGGAGGAGGAUGGUUCUUUGCUUUGCCCAUGAGGCAGGGAAGGAUGGCUGAAUAUGCUUUUAUUUGCUAUGAAGGAAAAGCAGUCAACGUAAAAAUUAGGAAGAAGGGUUACAACUGUAGACCAGUAAGGUCAGAAGACUGGGAGAACUGGGCUCAGUAAGGCCAGUGAAAGUCAAAAACACAGUGAUGGUAAUGGAGAUGGAAAAGUAGCUCUUGCCUCCCUGUAGUCACAGAUUGAAACUCUUUGAAGUGCACAUUUGAACACCAAAAUGCUGUAGGAGAGGAGGAAGUCAGCUUAAUUCUCAGCAAAAAAGAUCUGCACUUCAAAACCUGAGGGAGGUGAAACCUCAGGCAAUGAAUUCUUGACAGAAGUUCUUUCACUGGAGGUUUUUAAGGACAAGUUACACCAAGUAAGAUUUCAGUCAUAGACUGCCUUAGGUCAAGCCCUGUGCUGUGACUCUUAUGACUACAUAUGCACGUGAACAUCAUGAAGUCUGUGUGGUUACGAGAUGGGGAUGUGUCAAGCUAAGCGAUGGCUUUGGAUGGUGUGUCCAGGUGUUGCUUAUGUGUCAUGCACAAUGCCCAGACAUUCGUCUGUCACAUGGCAGGGACUUCGGGAAAGAGGCUUCAACCCAAAUGAGCUGAUGCUUGGGCUUGAAAUGAUAUGCUGGGUGAGCCUGGAAAUUAAUCUUUAGGAGAAGAGCUAUUUAAUGGCAUCUUAUUUGCAGCACUACUUGACAUGAGCAAUAACCAAACCUUGUCCUCACUUUCCCCCUCCCCCCGUCCCCCAGGCAUACAAAAAAAUAGGUGAAUAAAGUAAUUGACACACUUGCAACACCAAAGAAAAACAACCUGUUGAUCUUGAUCCCACUGUACUCUACAAGGCAGCAAAAAGUCAGGUUCCAGACUGCUUUAUGUAGCUGCUGAAGAGCUUAAUUUGUGUUAAUAUCCAUUUUGGAAUAAUUAUUCAUAUUGGAAUUCUGUCUGACUGUGCAAGGUGAGACAGUUCAAUUAUUUAAUCAUGCCAUCACUCUCAAUUUGAAAGGCCAGUGCUAGAGCAAAUGUGCUUUCUGUUUAAUUUAUACCAAUACUUAACCUAGUUGGUCUGUUCCCUGUUUGCAUGUCUUCAGUCAUGUAUCAGUGUAAUGGAUCGUUCCUUCAUUUUUAUAUCUGCCAGAUUUUAUGAGUCUCACAUUGAGCGGGUGGCUCUGAAUAUGAAAGCUUUGUUCAUCUGCACGUGCGUUUCUACAGAUGCAAGGAAGCUGGAGGAAAAUGGGAAAGCAGAGAUUUCUUUAAGUCUGUCCUCUUGCAUACGAAGACGUAAAGCUUUGUAAUUUCAGUAUGUAUCUGCAAAUAAAUUAGAACUGCUGAUUACUUCUGUAGUUCUUUGUUUCAUUUUCCUUUGGGCUCCUUUGGUAAGUAUAGCUUUCUGCCAGCAAUGCAGUUAGUAUAAGCUUUUCAUGUGCU